rnacentral:rRNA from 1 species
GUGUUUUUCGAUAUCAUUUAACUUCAGAAAAAAGUUAAAAAUUGGUAUUGAAACAAGACCAUCUUUUUCCAUCACGUUAAAUCAAAGAGAUUUACCUCUCUUAAAAGAGAUACAUUCGUUUUUUGAAUGUGGAGCAAUUAGAUUUUCACGAGGGGAUCGUACGUAUAAAUAUGAAGUCCGUUCCGUAAAAGAUCUUGUGAAGCGAAUAAUUCCACACUUCGAUAACUAUCCUCUUAGAGGAGGUAAACAAAAAGAUUUUCGAUAUUUUUCUGAAAUCUGUAAAAAAAUACAUACCAAUUUUCAUUUAAAUAAACAACAUUUAAUUGAAAUAAUAAAAAUGGCUUAUCUGAUGAAUCCAUCAGGUAAACGUAGGCAUGAAAUAAAUGAUCUCCUAAGGUUGCUUGGUGAGAAAAUGGUAUAGUCUACUCCCUAUGGAAACAUAGGAAAGAGUGAAGUUCCGACCUGCACGAAUGGCGUAACGAUAGCCACGCUGUCUCCACCCAAGACUCAGUGAAAUUGAAAUCGCUGUGAAGAUGCAGCGUACCCGCGGCUAGACGGAAAGACCCCGUGAACCUUUACUACAGCUUUACACUGAACUUUGAAUAUGCCUGUGUAGGAUAGGUGGGAGGCUUUGAAGCUGGAGCGCUAGCUCCAGUGGAGCCAACCUUGAAAUACCACCCUGGCGUGUUUGAGGUUCUAACCCUGUCCCGUAAUCCGGGUCGGGAACAGUGUAUGGUGGGUAGUUUGACUGGGGCGGUCUCCUCCAAAAGAGUAACGGAGGAGUACAAAGGUACCCUCAGCACGGUCGGAAAUCGUGCAUUGUGUGCAAAGGCAUAAGGGUGCUUGACUGCGAGACUGACAAGUCGAGCAGGUACGAAAGUAGGUCUUAGUGAUCCGGUGGUCCUUUAUGGAAGGGCCAUCGCUCAACGGAUAAAAGGUACUCCGGGGAUAACAGGCUGAUACCACCCAAGAGUUCAUAUCGACGGUGGUGUUUGGCACCUCGAUGUCGGCUCAUCACAUCCUGGGGCUGUAGCCGGUCCCAAGGGCAUGGCUGUUCGCCAUUUAAAGUGGUACGUGAGCUGGGUUUAGAACGUCGUGAGACAGUUCGGUCCCUAUCUGCCGUGGGCGUUGGAGAUUUGAGAGGAGCUGCUCCUAGUACGAGAGGACCGGAGUGGACGUACCUCUGGUGUUCCGGUUGUCACGCCAGUGGCAUUGCCGGGUAGCUAAGUACGGACGGGAUAACCGCUGAAAGCAUCUAAGCGGGAAGCCCCCCUCAAGAUGAGAUCUCCCGGACCUUUAAGGUCCCUAAAGAUUCGUUGAAGACGACAACGUUGAUAGGCAGGGUGUGGAAGCUCAGUAAUGAGUGAAGCUAACCUGUACUAAUUAAUCGUGCGACUUGACUAU